UAGGCAGCAGCUUGUGGGAGAAUCACUUAGCUGUUGGGGAAGAGAGACAGAAAGACAGCUGAAAGUAAAAUCAUCACAGAUCUGUAUCAGAUGACAACAGGAUAAGAAGGUCUCUAAGGGAACCGCGAGCUGUGCUGCCUCCCCCGGUAGGGUCUACCACAAGCAACUCUGGACCUGCUUCUCCAGGAUAAGAGACGAGGAGUGGAAGGCAGAAAUAUGGUGACGGCUGGUUGCGCUCAGCAGGGCGGAUGCGGAUAGCAGUGGACCUAUGAGGACGACCCACGUGACAGGUGAGGAUUUGAGACACCCGACACUCAUACUCUGUACGUGU